rnacentral:rRNA from 1 species
AGCUCCAAUAGCGUAUAUUAAAGUUGUUGCGGUUAAAAAGCUCGUAGUUGGAUUUCUGUCGAAGACGGUCGGUCCGCUCUAUGAGCGUGUAUCUGAUUCGGCUUUGGCAUCCUCGUGGGGAACGUAACUGUGCUUGAUUGCAUGGUGCGGAAUUCACGACUUUUACUUUGAGGAAAUUAGAGUGUUCACGGCAGGCAAGCGCCUUGAAUAUAUUAGCAUGGAAUAAUAAUAUAGGACUUUGGUUCUAUUUUGUUGGUGUCUAGGACUAAAGUAAUGAUUAAUAGGGAUAAUUGGGGGCAUUUGUAUUAACGCGUCAGAGGUGGAAUUCUUGGAUUGCGUUACGACAAACUACUGCGAAAGCAUUUGCCAAGGAUGUUU